UAGGGAAUCUUCGGCAAUGGGGGCAACCCUGACCGAGCAACGCCGCGUGAGUGAAGAAGGUUUUCGGAUCGUAAAGCUCUGUUGUAAGAGAAGAACGUGUGUGAGAGUGGAAAGUUCACACAGUGACGGUAACUUACCAGAAGGGACGGCUAACUACGUGCCAU
rnacentral:rRNA from 1 species